rnacentral:lncRNA from 1 species
UUUUUUUGUACUUUCAAGUUUAAACAUUUGCAUUGUCCCAUCAUUUACACCUCAAAAGCUGUAGGUACUUGAAGCAGGAAAUUUGCCCUUCCCUGGUUAUGUGCUGCCAUCAGUGAAAGACCUCGAGACUGAGCAUGUUAAAGAGUUGGAGCACUUCAGAAUGGUAAUGGUUUUGCAUUGAUGCCAUGCUGGCAUACUUUUGCUGCAGGCUAUGCAGUCUUAGUUCUCUUUUUUUCAUUUUUCGAUAGGUGGUCAUGCCUGAUGUUCAUUAUAUCACAUGUUAUUCAUUUUUUCAGGUGUUCCAGGAAAGAUUGUCAAUUGCUGUCACUUCAUCAUAAUCUGUAAGAAAUGCUAGGAAUUGUGAGACGCCUUUCCUGAGUUUGCCAAGAAAAUGAUGGUAAAAUAUUGUAUGGAUAUCUGUUGGAACCCAGCUUGACCUUCACCCCUGUUUUUGGCCAUCUCCUUAUUUCCAGUGUGGAGGUAAGAGGCGGUUCUUGUCCCUCCACAAAACUUUUCUCUUGAAACUUCUGUGUUUUCCCGUGAGAUCAGAUCAUUGAACACUCUAUGCUUAUAACCCCACUUCUUUUCAUAACUUGUACAACCUUAGUUUGCAUAUCCUCCAUAUCCGUUAAUGUUCUGACGACAAUGCACUCUUACAAUUAAUUAGUUCUUCCAUCUUCUACAAGGUUCACUGGUUUGUUCAAAAUUUAAUGGAAAAUUUGACAAAUCCACAGGAGCCUAUGGGAAUUAUUGCUAAUAUCUUAAAAAUUCUCCUCUCCACCCUUUCAUACCAACAGACUUUUUCUGAACAAGACAGGCCCUUCUUUCUAUUCUUCAAUCAGAAUACCAUUUCCAUGCAAUCGUCUUUCACAUUGCCAAACACUUAGCUUAAGUUACUGAAUGUUGGAACUAACAUUCUGCACAUGAAAUGAGUCACAGGGGACCAAAAGAGUAGAGAAGAUGCCCAUCUGAGCUCUUUGUUGUGAUGGUGAUCUUUAAUGAUGAUUGAUAAAUACUCUUCUGUUCAUUGUUUCGGCAUUAAAUACUUUAUUGGGUACAUCACUUUUUAGCCCUCUUACCCAAGUUCAGUUUAGGCUUGGACAUUCAAUUUGGAUGAUUUUGUAAGAAUUAACUUACCUGAUUAGAAGAUCUUUUUUCUCAUGUGCUGUAGCCUUUAUGUUUUCAUGUAAAUCAAUUUGAGCUGGGACUAAUAUUAGAUAAUCAGAUUGUUUGUAGAAGUAAAUGCAUGCUUUUCAUCCUGCCAUUCUCUUGGGAUGAAACAUGCACCAAUCUUGUAGCUCAUCCUCUCUCUUUUUCUUCUUUUAAAAAUAAAUAAAUUUUUGUACUUGUAGCUCAUUAGCUAACGGAUAUAAAAGUAUUUUUUUUUGUACUUUCAAGUUUAAACAUUUGCAUUGUCCCAUCAUUUACACCUCAAAAGCUGUAGGUACUUGAAGCAGGAAAUUUGCCCUUCCCUGGUUAUGUGCUGCCAUCAGUGAAAGACCUCGAGACUGAGCAUGUUAAAGAGUUGGAGCACUUCAGAAUGGUAAUGGUUUUGCAUUGAUGCCAUGCUGGCAUACUUUUGCUGCAGGCUAUGCA